rnacentral:rRNA from 1 species
UACGGGGGGGGUAAGCGUUGUUCGGAAUUACUGGGCGUAAAGGGCUCGUAGGCGGCCAACUAAGUCAGACGUGAAAUCCCUCAGCUUAACUGGGGAACUGCGUCUGAUACUGGAUGGCUUGGAUCCGGGAGAGGGAUGUGGAAUUCCAGGUGUAGCGGUGAAAUGCGUAGAUAUCUGGAGGAACACCGGUGGCGAAGGCGACAUCCUGGACCGGUAUUGACGCUGAGGCGCGAAAGCCAGGGGAGCAAACGGG